rnacentral:ncRNA from 1 species
AAAAUCGCAUGAUCAGAAGAGUACAUUAUCAUAUACCAACAGCGAGUUGAAACAGAGUGGAAGUUCAACGGUAACGUGAUAAUGGAAACGCAUCUGGGAGUGUUUCUUUGAACUUAGUAGGAGAAACCGCUGACCAGCGUUACAGGUUGAGGGAUUCCUAUAGAUUAUAGGAAUAACUAGAGUGGUACCGCGAUAAAACGUCGUCUCUGGA